rnacentral:rRNA from 1 species
GACGAACGCUGGCGGCGUGCUUAACACAUGCAAGUCGAACGGAAAGGCCCUGCUUGCAGGGUACUCGAGUGGCGAACGGGUGAGUAACACGUGGGUGAUCUGCCCUGCACUUCGGGAUAAGCCUGGGAAACUGGGUCUAAUACCGGAUAGGAGCCAUUUUUAGUGUGAUGGUUGGAAAGUUUUUUCGGUGUAGGAUGAGCUCGCGGCCUAUCAGCUUGUUGGUGGGGUAAUGGCCUACCAAGGCGGCGACGGGUAGCCGGCCUGAGAGGGUGGACGGCCACAUUGGGACUGAGAUACGGCCCAGACUCCUACGGGAGGCAGCAGUGGGGAAUAUUGCACAAUGGGCGCAAGCCUGAUGCAGCGACGCCGCGUGGGGGAGGACGGCCUUCGGGUUGUAAACUCCUUUCGCUAGGGACGAAGCUUUUUGCGACGGUACCUAGAUAAGAAGCACCGGCUAACUACGUG